rnacentral:rRNA from 1 species
UACGUAGGGUGCGAGCGUUGUCCGGAAUUAUUGGGCGUAAAGAGCUCGUAGGCGGUCUGUCGCGUCGGCUGUGAAAACCCGCAGCUCAACUGCGGGCUUGCGGUGAUACGGGCAGGCUGGAGUUCGGUAGGGGAGACUGGAAUUCCUGGUGUAGCGGUGAAAUGACGCAGAUAUCAGGAGGAACACCGGUGGCGAAGGCGGGUCUCUGGGCCGAUACUGACGCUGGAGGCACGAAAGCGUGGGGAGCAAACAGG